GCAUAUCAAUAAGCGGAGGAAAAGAAAAUAACAAUGAUUCCCCUAGUAACUGCGAGUGAAGAGGGACAAGCUCAAAUUUUAAAUCUGUUAGGUUUUUACCUGACCGAGUUGUAAUUUGAAGAGGUGUUUUCCGCGUUUUUUGGUCAGUCCAAGUCCUUUGGAAUGAGGCAUCAUGGAGGGUGAGAAUCCCGUUCGGCUGAUCAGAUUCGUUUUACGAUACACCUUCAAAGAGUCAAGUUGUUUGGGAUUGCAGCUUAAAAUGGGAGGUAAAUUUCUCCUAAGGCUAAAUAUUGGCGAGAGACCGAUAGCGAACAAGUACCGUGAGGGAAAGAUGAAAAGUACUUUGAAAAGAGAGUUAAAUAGCACGUGAAAUUGUUGAAAGGGAAACGAUUGAAGUCAGUCAUACUGACGGGUAAUCAACCUUUCGGGCGCGAUUAUGUGGCGCGUGAUGGAGCCUAACCGGUCCUCAUGUUUGCAUAUUUGUUCCCCUUGGGUGUACUUGCCCGCGUGGUAGGUUAACAUCAAUUUCGGACGUCAUAAAAUGACGGGAGGAAUGUAGCUUUGGUCUCGUACUGAAGUGUUAUAGACUCUGGUAGAUGUGACGUUCGGGAUUGAGGAUUGCAACGAAUACCCUUCGGGGCUACCCGCCUGGCCUCUGAUGGUCGCCGUGGUGCCGAAAGCUUGCUUACGGUUAUCAAGGUUGGUCGUCAAAANGUUAGAACGGGUUAAAUUCGUUAAGGAUGUUGACGUA
rnacentral:rRNA from 1 species